rnacentral:rRNA from 1 species
AGAAUCAACGCUGGCGGCGUGCCUAACACAUGCAAGUCGCACGAGAAAGGGACUUCGGUCCUGAGUACAGUGGCGCACGGGUGAGUAACACGUGAAUCAUCUACCUUCGAGUGGGGAAUAAACUGAGAGAAAUCUUAGCUAAUACCGCAUAAUACCUACGGGUCAAAGCAGCAAUGCGCUUGAAGAGGAGUUCGCGGCAGAUUAGUUAGUUGGCGGGGUAAUGGCCCACCAAGACGAUGAUCUGUAUCCGGCCUGAGAGGGCGCACGGACACACUGGAACUGAAACACGGUCCAGACUCCUACGGGAGGCAGCAGUGGGGAAUUUUGCGCAAUGGGGGAAACCCUGACGCAGCAACGCCGCGUGGAGGAUGAAAUCCCUUGGGAUGUAAACUCCUUUCGAUCGGGAAGAUAAUGACGGUACCGAGAGAAGAAGCCCCGGCUAACUUCGCGCCAGCAGCCGC